GUUGUUUGGCCGAGCGGUCUAAGGCGCCUGAUUCAAGAUAUAGAGCUCAGGUUCGAAUCUUGUGUGCAGCA
rnacentral:tRNA from 1 species